rnacentral:rRNA from 1 species
UACGGAGGGUGCAAGCGUUAUCCGGAUUCACUGGGUUUAAAGGGUGCGUAGGUGGGUUUGUAAGUCAGUGGUGAAAUCUCCAGGCUUAACCUGGAAACUGCCAUUGAUACUAUAGGUCUUGAAUUUUCUGGAGGUAAGCGGAAUAUGUCAUGUAGCGGUGAAAUGCUUAGAUAUGACAUAGAACACCAAUUGCGAAGGCAGCUUGCUACAGGAAUAUUGACACUGAGGCACGAAAGCGUGGGGAUCAAACAGG